AGCGAACGCUGGCGGCGUGCUUAACACAUGCAAGUCGAACGUGAAAUGUAGCAAUACAGAGUAAAGUGGCGUACGGGUGAGUAACACGUGGGUAAUCUACCAAAGUGUCUGGAAUAACCGAUCGAAAGGUUGGCUAAUACUGGAUAGUUCAAGCUUGUUAUAAUGGCAAGAUUGGGAAAGGGAGCUGGCAACAGCCUUCGCAUUUUGAUGAGCUCGCGUCUGAUUAGUUAGUUGGUAAGGUAAUGGCUUACCAAGACGAAGAUCAGUAGCUGGUCUGAGAGGAUGAUCAGCCACACUGGAACUGAAACACGGUCCAGACUCCUACGGGAGGCAGCAGUGGGGAAUCUUGCGCAAUGGACGAAAGUCUGACGCAGCCACGCCGCGUGAGUGAAGAAGGCCU
rnacentral:rRNA from 1 species